GUGCCUCGGCGGGAUCUCUGCCCCGGGUGCGUCGCAGCCCCGGACCAAGGCGCCCGCCGGAGGACCAACCAAAACUCUUAUUGUAUACCCCCUCGCGGGUUUUUUUAUAAUCUGAGCCUUCUCGGCGCCUCUCGUAGGCGUUUCGAAAAUGAAUCAAAACUUUCAACAACGGAUCUCUUGGUUCUGGCAUCGAUGAAGAACGCAGCGAAAUGCGAUAAGUAAUGUGAAUUGCAGAAUUCAGUGAAUCAUCGAAUCUUUGAACGCACAUUGCGCCCGCCAGUAUUCUGGCGGGCAUGCCUGUCCGAGCGUCAUUUCAACCCUCGAACCCCUCCGGGGGGUCGGCGUUGGGGAUCGGCCCUCCCUUAGCGGGUGGCCGUCUCCGAAAUACAGUGGCGGUCUCGCCGCAGCCUCUCCUGCGCAGUAGUUUGCACACUCGCAUCGGGAGCGCGGCGCGUCCACAGCCGUUAAACACCCAACUUCUGAAAUGUUGACCUCGGAUCAGGUAGGAAUACCCGCUGAACUUAAGCAUAUCAAUAAGCGGAGGAA
rnacentral:rRNA from 1 species